rnacentral:rRNA from 1 species
UACGUAGGUGGCAAGCGUUAUCCGGAAUUAUUGGGCGUAAAGCGCGCGUAGGCGGUUUUUUAAGUCUGAUGUGAGAGCCCACGGCUCAACCGUGGAGGGUCAUUGGAAACUGGAAAACUUGAGUGCAGAAGAGGAAAGUGGAAUUCCAUGUGUAGCGGUGAAAUGCGCAGAGAUAUGGAGGAACACCAGUGGCGAAGGCGACUUUCUGGUCUGUAACUGACGCUGAUGUGCGAAAGCGUGGGGAUCAAACAGGAUUAGAUAC